GCUCUGAAGUAGAUUUACGUCGGAUUGCAAAUCCGAAAUCGGAGGUUAAACCCCCUCCCCGAGCUUU
rnacentral:tRNA from 1 species